GAUGAACGCUGGCGGCGUGCCUAAUACAUGCAAGUCGAGCGAACAGACGAGGAGCUUGCUCCUCUGACGUUAGCGGCGGACGGGUGAGUAACACGUGGAUAACCUACUUAUAAGACUGGGAUAACUUCGGGAAACCGGAGCUACUACCGGAUAACAUGUUCAACCGCAUGGUUUAAUAGUGGUAGACGGUCUUGCUGUCACUGAUAGAUGUAUUCGCACCGCAUUAGCUAGUUGGUAAGGUAACGGCUUACCAAGGCAACGAUGCGUAGCCGACCUGAGAGGGUGAUCAGCCACACUGGAACUGAGCCACGGUCCAGACUCCUACGGGAGGCAGCAGUAGGGAAUCUUCCGCAAUGGGCGAAAGCCUGACGGAGCAACGCCGCGUGAGUGAAGAAGGUCUUCGGAUCGUAAAACUCUGUUAUUAGGGAAGAACAAAUGUGUAAGUAACUAUGCACGUCUUGACGGUACCUAAUCAGAAAGCCACGGCUAACUACGUG
rnacentral:rRNA from 1 species